UGUGAGGCUGCAGGGUGUGUGAGGCUGCAUUGUGUGUGAGGUUGCAGUGUGUGUGAGGUUGCAGGGUGUGUGAGGUUGCAGUGUGUGUGAGGCUGCAGUGUGUGUGAGGCUGCAGGGUGUGUGAGGUUGCAGGGUGUGUGAGGCUGCAGGGUGUGUGAGGCUGCAGGGUGUGUGAGGCUGGCAGUGAAAUGCUGAAUACAACAGGUGUAUCAGUGAAAUGCUGAAUACAACAGGUAUAGCAGUGAAAUGCUGAAUACAAGCCUUAACCUUAACCAACAAAAACAGUUAAAAAAAAAAAAAAACCUACAAAAAGUAACAAAUAAUUUAAGAGCAGUAAAACAACUUUUUAAAAUUUUAUUUAACCAGGCAAG
ensembl:lncRNA